ensembl:lncRNA
UUUAUAAUGAAAAAUGUCGGAGAUAAAAUGCAAAAGCAGAAUCAGUGAUUGAUAUAUUUUGUAUCCCAGAGGGAUAGUUAGCACUCCAUUCUACUUCCUUGCAUCGGUGUAUUGCCAGUCUUGUUCUCUUUCAACAAAGGGUGUAUGGAAGUUAAAAAAACUCACAUAUUUCUGAUUGUUUACCCAAUUUCUACCUUGUCGUUGCUCUGAAUGUUGGCAUCUUCCUUUGCUAUUCAGUUAUCUCACAUUGUUGCUUCUUGGAUUUGUCUUUUGAUUGCAAUCUAUGCAGAUAUUCCUUUUGAGCCACAUAAGCUUUAUUAAACACACACAUCUGAAAUAUUGGCAUUUUCACUAAUGAUGUGAACGUUUUGUUCAAGGUAUGUCAGGUGAUUUGAUUUAGACAAUUUCACUGCCAUGUGACACUUCCGGCCCUUCUUUUCAUGGAAUUUGAUUAAGAAGAACAUUAGUUAGGCAUUGAUCAAAAUAGAAAUUAAAAACAAAAACCAGAAAGUUGUGCCUUUCUCUGUUGGUGAAAAUAUUGUGACUAGAGGGAGCCCAAGUAAGUUUCCCUAUAGUAUCCCUAGAAGCAGUGCUUCAAGAUCCUCCCAUUUGUACUUACUGUAGAAUAUAUAUUCAAUAAUACAUAUAAAUUAAAAGGCAUUGUAUUUAUAAAAUCAUACAAACUGAAUAAUAAAACCAUAACGAAUGUCUAAAAGGAAAAGAAAUGGACCACUAAGUUCACUAAUGUAACACCAUUUUCACGUCAGGGAGAAUCCUCUCUGGACAGAACUGGCUCAGUACCACUGCAUUUAUGUGUGUGUAUUUAGAGUGUGUAUGUGUGGGGUUGUGUGGGUGUGUAUUUGUGCCCUCAUAGGUUUAUUCUCAUGUAUAAAUCUUGCAUUCAAUUUGAAUGUUCUUCUCAUUUCCCAUGAUAUUUACAUUGAUCUCUCCAUUUUAAUUUCAGAACAACAUCAGAGGGAAUACGAGGGACGUGAGAAAAGUGUAGCGGAACUUCGGAAAGUAUUUGGUAAAGUUUUCUGACAUUCUUUGCCUCAUAACCUUGAAAUGAUGCUAAUGUUCCCUGCAUUUCUAUCUGCAUGACACCCACUGCUUCUCUUUCCCUUCUUUGCCCUCCAAUUUUUUGAAUUAGACUACUCCCAUUUUAAUAUCUUCUGUUUGGUUUUCCCCAUUCUAUGCCUUCCCACGCCUUGAUUUUCAUGGAGUAUCUUUUCUUUCCUAUAAACAUUAGAUUUAUUUCCCUAGUUUAUACAUCUCCAGAGACUUGUUGAUUUGACUGUAAUUUUAAAUGUAAUGUAAAAAACAAGAGGUAUUAGGCUGAUGAGCACACCUCUUCCAUCCUGUGUACGUUUUCUGAUAAAUGACCACUGAGGUAGAAUCAUUGUCACUUUUCAAGUUCAAGGGACAAUAACCAUGCAACUGAUACUGGCCCAAACUUGAAGUGGAAAGCAAACUCCACAUUUGCUGAAUGAAGUUUCUCUACCUUCUGCUCAGUCAAAGGCUCAUUUUCUCCUGUCAUCCACUGGCCAAGAAUGGAGUGAGCUCUAAGUUAACUCUCCCACAAACCUUGAUCUUAUUAAUCAGUUGUUCCCAGGUAUAUAAAUAGUUUACCUAAAAUAGUGUGGCAUCUUAGCUUUCAAAAUUACUCGUUCCGCAACCUGCAAAUGUUCUUACUGUGUUUAGAAGGAUAUCAUCUGUCCAGGGAAGGUCACGUGAUAACAGAUCUCUCAUUAAUGAAAUGUUAUGUUAGUGAAAUGAAGAGU